AGAGUUUGAUCCUGGCUCAGGAUGAAUGCUGGCGGCGUGCUUAACACAUGCAAGUCGAGCGAGAGAGUCUCUUCGGAGACAAUCUAGCGGCGGACGGGUGAGUAACACGUGGGCAACCUGCCUUGUAGUGGGGGAUAGCCCUCCGAAAGGAGGAUUAAUACCGCAUAACAUUGCUUUAAGGCAUCUUAGAGCAAUCAAAG
rnacentral:rRNA from 1 species